rnacentral:rRNA from 1 species
CCUACGGGAGGCAGCAGUGAGGAAUAUUGGUCAAUGGACGAGAGUCUGAACCAGCCAAGUAGCGUGAAGGAUGAAUGCACUAUGGGUUGUAAACUUCUUUUAUAUGGGAAUAAAAUGUUCCACGUGUGGAUUUUUGUAUGUACCAUAUGAAUAAGGAUCGGCUAACUCCGUGCCAGCAGCCGCGGUAAUACGGAGGAUCCGAGCGUUAUCCGGAUUUAUUGGGUUUAAAGGGAGCGUAGGUGGUUUGUUAAGUCAUUUGUGAAAGUUUGCGGCUCAACCGUAAAAUUGCAGUUGAAACUGGCAGUCUUGAGUACAGUAGAGGUGGGCGGAAGUCGUGGUGUAGCGGUGAAAUGCUUAGAUAUCACGAAGAACUCCGAUUGCGAAGGCAGUUCACUGGACUGCAACUGACACUGAGGCUCGAAAGUGUGGGUAUCAAACAGGAUUAGAUACCCGAGUAGUC